rnacentral:rRNA from 1 species
AGCAGCCGCGGUAAUUCCAGCUCCAAUAGCGUAUAUUAAAGUUGUUGCAGUUAAAAAGCUCGUAGUUGAACUUCGGGGUUUACCCAUUGGUCAGGCUUAAUUGUCUGUACUGGUGAGAUAAAUCUCUACCUUCUGAGGAACUUUCAUGCCAUUAAUUUGGUGUGAUGGGAAAUCAGGACUGUUACUUUGAAAAAUUAGAGUGUUUAAAGCAGGCUAACGUCUGAAUACAUUAGCAUGGAAUAAUGAAAUAGGACGGACUGAUUCUAUUUCGUUGGUUUCUAGGAUCACCGUAAUGAUUAAUAGGGAUAGUUGGGGGCAUUAGUAUUCAAUUGUCAGAGGUGAAAUUCUUGGAUUUAUUGAAGACUAACUACUGCGAAAGCAUUUGCCAAGGAUGUUUUCAUUAAUCAAGAACGAAAGUUAGGGGAUCGAAGACGAUCAGAUACCGUCGUA